rnacentral:rRNA from 1 species
UACGAAGGGGGCUAGCGUUGCUCGGAAUCACUGGGCGUAAAGGGUGCGUAGGCGGGUCUUUAAGUCAGGGGUGAAAUCCUGGAGCUCAACUCCAGAACUGCCUUUGAUACUGAGGAUCUUGAAUUCGGUAGAGGUUAGUGGAAUAUCCAGUGUAGAGGUGAAAUUCGCAGAUAUUGGAUGGAACACCAGUGGCGAAGGCGACUAACUGGACCGACAUUGACGCUGAGGCACGAAAGCGUGGGUAGCAAACAGG